rnacentral:rRNA from 1 species
GGGACACGUGGUAUCCUGUCUGAAUAUGGGGGGACCAUCCUCCAAGGCUAAAUACUCCUGACUGACCGAUAGUGAACCAGUACCGUGAGGGAAAGGCGAAAAGAACCCCGGCGAGGGGAGUGAAAAAGAACCUGAAACCGUGUACGUACAAGCAGUGGGAGCACCUUCGGGUGUGACUGCGUACCUUUUGUAUAAUGGGUCAGCGACUUAUAUUCUGUAGCAAGGUUAACCGUAUAGGGGAGCCGCAGGGAAACCGAGUCUUAACUGGGCGUUAAGUUGCAGGGUAUAGACCCGAAACCCGGUGAUCUAGCCAUGGGCAGGUUGAAGGUUGGGUAACACUAACUGGAGGACCGAACCGACUAAUGUUGAAAAAUUAGCGGAUGAC